CUGGCGUCUUCGGCGUCCGCAUUGUAAUCUCAAGAAGUGUUUUCCGCUUCGGACCAUGCCUAAGUCCCUUGGAAAAGGGCAUCAUAGAGGGUGAUAAUCCCGUACAUGGCAUGGAGCGCCCGAAGCUUUGUGAUACGCUUUCUAAGAGUCGAGUUGUUUGGGAAUGCAGCUCAAAAUGGGUGGUAAAUGCCAUCUAAGGCUAAAUAUUGGGGAGAGACCGAUAGCGAACAAGUACAGUGAUGGAAAGAUGAAAAGAACUUUGAAAAGAGAGUUAAACAGUACGUGAAAUUGCCAAAAGGGAAGGGUAGGAGGUCAGAGAUGCGGCCUGGGAUUCAGCCUUGCUUUUGCUUGGUGUUUUUCCCAGAUUGCAGGCCAACGUCGGUUUUGGGCACUGGAGAAGGGUAGGAGGAACGUGGCACCUCUCGGGGUGUGUUAUAGCCUCCUACUGGAUACAGCGACCGAGACCGAGGACAGCAGCGUACUCGCAAGAGCGGGCCUUCGGGCACCUUUACGCUUAGGGCGUUGGCAUAAUGGC
rnacentral:rRNA from 1 species